AGCGAACGCUGGCGGUAGGCCUAACACAUGCAAGUCGAACGAACUCUUCGGAGUUAGUGGCGGACGGGUGAGUAACACGUGGGAACGUGCCUUUUGGUUCGGAAUAACUCAGGGAAACUUGUGCUAAUACCGAAUGUGCCCUUCGGGGGAAAGAUUUAUCGCCAUUAGAGCGGCCCGCGUCUGAUUAGCUAGUUGGUGAGGUAACGGCUCACCAAGGCGACGAUCAGUAGCUGGUCUGAGAGGAUGACCAGCCACACUGGGACUGAGACACGGCCCAGACUCCUACGGGAGGCAGCAGUGGGGAAUCUUGCGCAAUGGGCGAAAGCCUGACGCAGCCAUGCCGCGUGAAUGAUGAAGGUCUUAGGAUUGUAAAAUUCUUUCACCGGGGACGAUAAUGACGGUACCCGGAGAAGAAGCCCCGGCUAACUUCGUG
rnacentral:rRNA from 1 species